rnacentral:ncRNA from 2 species
UACUUGGUUGAUCCUGCCAAGGAAGCACACUUAGGUCAUAGAUUAAGCCAUGCAAGUGUUAGUUCAGGUAACGAAACUGCGAAUAGCUCAUUAAUACGCUCAGAAUCUAUUUGGCGGCGACCAACAGGUCUUAAAUGGAUAGCAGCAGCAACUCUGGUGCUAAUACAUGCGAUUGUUUCUCCAGAUGUGAAUUAUGGAGGAAAAGUUGACCUCAUCAGAGGCACGCCAUUCGACUGAGUGACCUAUCAGCUUGUACUUAGGGUCUUUACCUAGGUAGGCUAUCACGGGUAACGGGCGGUUACCGUCGGACUGCCGGAGAAGGCGCCUGAGAGAUAGCGACUAUAUCCACGGGUAGCAGCAGGCGCGAAACUUUCCCACUCGAGACUUUCGGAGGAGGUAAUGACCAGUUCCAUUGGUGCCUUUUGGUACUGUGGAUAGGGGUACGGUUUUCCACCGUACCGAAACCUAGCAGAGGGCCAGUCUGGUGCCAGCAGCUGCGGUAAUUCCAGCUCUGCGAGUUUGCUCCCAUAUUGUUGCAGUUAAAACGCCCGUAGUCUGAAUUGGCCAGCAAUGGUCGUACGUAUUUUUACGUUCACUGUGAACAAAUCAGGACGCUUAGAGUAUGGCCACAUGAAUGACUCAGCGCAGUAUGAAGUCUUUGUUUUCUUCCGAAAACAAGCUCAAUGAGAGCCAUCGGGGGUAGAUCUAUCUCAUGACGAGUGGUGGAAUACUUUGACUCAUGAGAGAGAAGCUGAGGCGAAGGCGUCUACCUAGAGGGUUUCUGUCGAUCAAGGGCGAGAGUAGGAGUAUCCAACCAGGAUUAGAGACCCUGGUAGUUUCCUACCUAA